rnacentral:rRNA from 1 species
AUUGAACGCUGGCGGCAUGCCUUACACAUGCAAGUCGAACGGCAGCACGGGUGCUUGCACCUGGUGGCGAGUGGCGAACGGGUGAGUAAUACAUCGGAACAUGUCCUGUAGUGGGGGAUAGCCCGGCGAAAGCCGGAUUAAUACCGCAUACGAUCUACGGAUGAAAGCGGGGGACCUUCGGGCCUCGCGCUAUAGGGUUGGCCGGUGGCUGAUUAGCUAGUUUGUGGGGUAAAGGCCUACCAAGGCGACGAUCAGUAGCUGGUCUGAGAGGACGACCAGCCACACUGGGACUGAGACGCGGCCCAGACUCCGACGGGAGGCAGCAGUGGGGAAUGGUGGAAAAUGGGGGGAAGCCUGAUCCAGCAAUGCCGCGUGUGUGAAGAAGGCCUUCGGGUUGGAAAGCAGUUUUGUCCGGAAAGAAAUCCUUGGCCCUAAUACGGUCGGGGGAUGACGGUACCGGAAGAAGAAGCACCGGCUAACUACGUG